rnacentral:rRNA from 1 species
UACGUAGGGUGCGAGCGUUGUCCGGAAUUACUGGGCGUAAAGAGCUCGUAGGUGGUUUGUCACGUCGUCUGUGAAAUUCCGGGGCUUAACCUCGGGCGUGCAGGCGAUACGGGCAAUACUUGAGUGCUGUAGGGGAGACUGGAAUUCCUGGUGUAGCGGUGAAAUGCGCAGAUAUCAGGAGGAACACCAAUGGCGAAGGCAGGUCUCUGGGCAGUUACUGACGCUGAGGAGCGAAAGCAUGGGUAGCGAACAGGAUUAGACA